UCUGCCCUUAGACUAUAGGUAUCACGUAUACAUCAAUAGGUGGCAGAAAGGAGAGAGGCUAGGUCUACACUCAGUGUUCAGACCUAUGAACACCUGAAUAACUAGAUUAAUUUUUAAAA
rnacentral:snoRNA from 1 species